rnacentral:rRNA from 1 species
AACGUAGGAGACAAACGUUUAUCCGGAGUUACUGGGCGUAAAGGGCGUGUAGGUGGUUUCGUAAGUCUGGCGUGAAAUUUUUCGGCUUAACCGGGAAAGGUCGUCGGAUACUGCGGGACUGGAGGACGGUAGAGGCGUGUGGAAUUCCGGGUGUAGUGGUGAAAUGCGUAGAGAUCCGGAGGAACACCAGUGGCGAAGGCGACACGCUGGGCCGUACCUGACACUGAUGCGCGACAGCAUGGGGAGCAAACAGG